rfam:Heterocephalus glaber contig133405, whole genome shotgun sequence.
UAAUGUCACAAUCUGACUACUAUAUUUUUCACCCCAUUGAUUGCCAGGGACAAUUGGGCUGAUCUGGCUGGCUUUGUGGCUGUCCUUUUUUAACCCUUGCCACUCUGUAUUUCAUUGUCGUUCAAAGAGGACAAUCUUCUUUCAUCAAAGGUACAGGAGAGUAGCUGCUUCCCCCCCACCUCCAAACAAGCACUCAAAAUGAUAGAUACCUGCAGUUCAAUAGUGAGAGUGAAAAU